rnacentral:rRNA from 1 species
UGGGGAAUAUUGGGCAAUGGGCGAAAGCCUGACCCAGCAACGCCGCGUGAAGGAAGAAGGCCCUCGGGUUGUAAACUUCUUUUGUCAGGGACGAAGCAAGUGACGGUACCUGACGAAUAAGCCACGGCUAACUACGUGCCAGCAGCCGCGGUAAUACGUAGGUGGCAAGCGUUAUCCGGAUUUACUGGGUGUAAAGGGCGUGUAGGCGGGAGUGCAAGUCAGAUGUGAAAACUAUGGGCUCAACCCAUAGCCUGCAUUUGAAACUGUACUUCUUGAGUGAUGGAGAGGCAGGCGGAAUUCCCUGUGUAGCGGUGAAAUGCGUAGAUAUAGGGAGGAACACCAGUGGCGAAGGCGGCCUGCUGGACAUUAACUGACGCUGAGGCGCGAAAGCGUGGGGAGCAAACAGG